rnacentral:rRNA from 1 species
UACGUAGGGUGCGAGCGUUAAUCGGAAUUACUGGGCGUAAAGUGUGCGCAGGCGGCCGAGCAAGUCGAGUGUGAAAGCCCCGAGCUUAACUUGGGACUGCGCUCGAAACUACUUGGCUAGAGUGUGGCAGAGGGAGGUGGAAUUCCACGUGUAGCGGUGAAAUGCGUAGAGAUGUGGAGGAACACCGAUGGCGAAGGCAGCCUCCUGGGCCAACACUGACGCUCAUGCACGAAAGCGUGGGGAGCAAACAGG